GGGUUGAAAGGAGAUUGGCCAGCAUAGCUAGGGGGAGACUGGCCUCAGAGCCCCCAAGGCUAUGGCAGAGAUGUGGGUUGGGAUGCUACCUGUAGGGGACACUUGGAGUGGGAUAAAUCCAGAAGGAAAAGCUCCCACACUACAGGAGCUCAUAAUAUCCUAGACUGGCCUUGACAGUACUCUACAGAUGAAGUUUUGAUCCUCAUGUCUCUUCAGGCAUGAACCACCAACACACCAGUUUAUAUACCAUGGAGAUCAAACCCAGCAUUCACACACACAAGGCAAGCUCAAGCUGCA